GGCUACGGCCAUAUCACGAUGAAUGCACCUCAUCCCGUCCGAUUUGAGAAGUCCACAUCAGUACUGUGGUUGGAGACAACUUGGGAACCUGUGGUGCUGUAGUCU
rnacentral:rRNA from 1 species